UCCAUUCACACACUAAUUUCUCACAUUCUACACAUACUACACAAAUUCUAUGUUAUAGUAACAAAACCUGCAAAUUACAAAAUCAACGACAACAGCCAUGGCCACUUCUAUUAUAUGCAACAUGUUUGUACAAAUUUGUUUUUGCAGAAAUUAGAAGAAACACAAAAAGCAGAAAAAGAUUUCAAAUCGGAAAGUGCUCGUGAAUCGUAUUCGGCCAACCUUCAACGCGGAAAAGCUCUGACAGGCUUUCCUCCGACCACCGGACAAAUCUCCUUCAACUGCACUGCCCUCCACCGGCCAUCCACGCGUCAGUUGCGCUGUCGACGACAUCCAAGAUCGCCUCUGAUUCAUGACACCGCAGCAUGUCAACAAAUUCAACCCCAUGUCUGUAUCGCGACCCAGCUCUGA